UCAGUUGUAGCUCAGGGGUUAAGAGCUUGGACUACUGAUUGGAAGGUCAUGAGUUCAAACCCCAGCACCUCCA